CCUACGGGUGGCAGCAGUGGGGAAUAUUGCACAAUGGGGGAAACCCUGAUGCAGCGACGCCGCGUGAGUGAAGAAGGAUUUCGGUACGUAAAGCUCUAUCAGCAGGGAAGAAAAUGACGGUACCUGACUAAGAAGCCCCGUCUAACUACGUGCCGGCAGCCGCGGUAAUACGUCGGGGGCAAGCGUUAUCCGGAUUUACUGGGUGUAAAGGGAGCGUAGACGGCAGCGCAAGUCUGGAGUGAAAUCCCAUGGCUUAACCAUGGAACUGCUUUGGAAACUGUGCAGCUAGAGUGCAGGAGAGGUAAGCGGAAUUCCUAGUGUAGCGGUGAAAUGCGUAGAUAUUAGGAGGAACACCAGUGGCGAAGGCGGCUUACUGGACUGUAACUGACGUUGAGGCUCGAAAGCGUGGGGAGCAAACAGGAUUAGAUACCCUUGUAGUC
rnacentral:rRNA from 1 species